CGGAGGUGCAAGCGUUAAUCGGAAUUACUGGGCGUAAAGCGCACGCAGGCGGUUGUUAAGUCAGAUGUGAAAUCCCGCGCUUAACGUGGGAACUGCAUUUGAAACUGGCAAGCUAGAGUCUUGUAGAGGGGGUAGGAAUUCCAGGUGUAGCGGUGAAAUGCGUAGAGAUCUGGAGGAAUACCGGUGGCGAAGGCGGCCCCUGGACAAAGACUGACGCUCAGGUGCGAAAGCGUGGGGAGCAAACAGGAUU
rnacentral:rRNA from 1 species